UCUUUGUUUGAAUAUGAUCUUAUGGCAUACAUCUUAUUUGGACUUCAUGAUGAAUAUGAGUCAUUUGUUGAUUCUAUUGAGACUUGCAAUGAAUAUAUGACUACUGAUGAACUUCAUGGUCUCCUAUUGAGCAAAGAAU